rnacentral:tRNA from 1 species
GCAGUGUUCGUAUAACGGUUAUUAUAUGACCUUGCCAAGGUCGAGAUGGCAGUUCGAUUCUGCUACACUGCU